UAGCUCUGUUGGUAGAGCACUCGUCUAGUUAACGAGAGGUCUCCAGUUCGAUCCUGGG
rnacentral:tRNA from 1 species